AUAAAAUGAAGACUCAAAAUGAGGUUAAAUAGCCCCCUAUGGCAGCGUACCUCCCCUGCAAAGCCUUCCAGACUCCUGGGUGGAAUGAAGCUCCAGAAUCACAUCGCAUCUCGCCAACGUCAGAACAGUCACAUGGCCUGUCAAUGCUAGUUAGCAAGUCCAUAUCUCCCCAUCAGGAAUAUAAGCUCCACUGAGGCAGGAUCUUUGCUUUGUUUACUAAUAAUCAUCCCCUGCCUAGAAGAGCACCUGGUAGAGUCAGGAACUCAACUAACAUUUGCUGAACACACGAUGAAUUAAAAUAAGCAGAGUGAAAGUGGCCUAAUAUGGGCACAUGAGGACCCAACACACAAGAUUCUUGCCACUCCCAGUGAUGAAUGGAACCGGAAGAGCGAAUCAGGAGUCACGACAGUACAAGCAAUAGCUCACAGUCCUGGGCAACAGAACUAUAAAUAUUCAGGCAAGAGUACUCUAACACAGGGUUAGAGUAUCUCGGAUGAAAUCUGAACUUCUGCUUUUUAGCAAAUUCAUUCUAUCAGAACCCAGGAGUAAUCUGUGCACAACAACCCCAAGAAAAGUGUGUGCGUGGAGUAGGUUCGAUUAAAUGAAAUCAAUUUUACCACGGA